UCUACCGGGAUUGGGGAUAACGUUGGG
rnacentral:sRNA from 1 species